GAUGAACGCUAGCUACAGGCUUAACACAUGCAAGUCGAGGGGAAACGAUAGAGAAAGCUUGCUUUUUCUAGGCGUCGACCGGCGCACGGGUGAGUAACGCGUAUCCAACCUGCCCACCACUUGGGGAUAACCUUGCGAAAGUAAGACUAAUACCCAAUGACGUCUCUAGAAGACAUCUGAAAGAGAUUAAAGAUUUAUCGGUGAUGGAUGGGGAUGCGUCUGAUUAGCUUGUUGGCGGGGUAACGGCCCACCAAGGCGACGAUCAGUAGGGGUUCUGAGAGGAAGGUCCCCCACAUUGGAACUGAGACACGGUCCAAACUCCUACGGGAGGCAGCAGUGAGGAAUAUUGGUCAAUGGACGAGAGUCUGAACCAGCCAAGUAGCGUGCAGGAUGACGGCCCUAUGGGUUGUAAACUGCUUUUAUAAGGGAAUAAAGUGAGUCUCGUGAGACUUUUUGCAUGUACCUUAUGAAUAAGGACCGGCUAAUUCCGUGCCAGCAGCCG
rnacentral:rRNA from 1 species